UACGGAGGGUGCAAGCGUUAUCCGGAUUCACUGGGUUUAAAGGGCGCGUAGGCGGUCCUUCAAGUCAGGCGUGAAAGCCCCGGGCUCAACCUGGGAACCGCGCUUGAGACUGGCGGACUCGAGUUCGGGAGAGGAUGGUGGAAUUCCCAGUGUAGAGGUGAAAUUCGUAGAUAUUGGGAAGAACACCGAUGGCGAAGGCAGCCAUCUGGACCGACACUGACGCUGAGGCGCGAAAGCGUGGGGAGCAAACAGG
rnacentral:rRNA from 1 species